rnacentral:rRNA from 1 species
AUGGUUCUCAGAGGUUUAAUGGCGAUGACAUGGCGCAGUCGAGCAAGUUUUGGUCAAUGUUUCAUGGCUCAAUCAACGAAUGGUGUUAAAACUGCUAAUCCUGAAAGCAAGAUUUUGAAUGAUUCCUACCUCGAGCUUCCGCUUCAGUUGUUUCUUGGUUGUUCAAGUAUGCUUGGUGGUUCUUCCUCGAGGGUUGAGAUGGACCAUGCACUGGUUACAUCUUCUCCUAUCUCCAUGUUCUUCUUAAUUUUCUUGUGCAAUCAGAGCUGUAUUAAGACAGUUUGUGCAGUCCAUGCUUUUAACAUUGAAAAUGAGAAGCAUUCGAUAUGGAACAAUUGUACCAUAUGUGGUUGCUUUCAGAGGAAACUAAGGAAUGGCGGGGACUCUGGUUUGGUUAUGAGGAGUGCUUGGUGGAUGCUUAUGUGA